CCCACAGCAGCCUCCGCUCUGGCUUUGGGAAGGGGUGACUGUUACCUGUGCACUGAUGGAGAGGCUUUUGUCAUCCCUCACUUGUCUUUUCCUCGCUCCAGGUACACUGAUGGGGGAGAGCAGGAGCGGGCGGGCACUGAAACCAGCACCAAACCCCCUCUGAGCAGCUGCAGCAUCCCAGGGCUGAGCCUCUGUCCCUGAGGUGAGGAACCCCCAUAACAGGCUUUGGCUUCCCAUCAGACAAGGAACCUCACAGAGGGAGGUUUCAGCAAGGAGAAAGGAACAGGAAGUCUGGAAACAUCCUGGAAAUAAAGCCCACAGCAUGAACCUGAAGAAGUACUUCAUCCGGGCCCUGCACCGCCUGCAGAACGGGCCCCGGCCGUACACCUACCAAGGAGCUGCUGGUCUGUGGGCGAUCCUCAUCAACACCUACCUGUCCUACAACGUCACUUCGUCUCUCUCUAUCGGCUUCAAGACCAUGAAGUUCCCAGCAGUCACGGUCUGC
rnacentral:lncRNA from 14 species